rnacentral:rRNA from 1 species
GAUGAACGCUGGCGGCGUGCCUAAUACAUGCAAGUCGAGCGAACAGACGAGGAGCUUGCUCCUCUGACGUUAGCGGCGGACGGGUGAGUAACACGUGGAUAACCUACCUAUAAGACUGGGAUAACUUCGGGAAACCGGAGCUAAUACCGGAUAAUAUAUUGAACCGCAUGGUUCAAUAGUGAAAGACGGUUUUGCUGUCACUUAUUGAUGGAUCCGCGCCGCAUUAGCUAGUUGGUAAGGUAACGGCUUACCAAGGCAACGAUGCGUAGCCGACCUGAGAGGGUGAUCGGCCACACUGGAACUGAGACACGGUCCAGACUCCUACGGGAGGCAGCAGUAGGGAAUCUUCCGCAAUGGGCGAAAGCUUGACGGAGCAACGCCGCGUGAGUGAUGAAGGUCUUCGGAUCGUAAAACUCUGUUAUUAGGGAAGAACAAAUGUGUAAGUAACUAUGCACGUCUUGACGGUACCUAAUCAGAAAGCCACGGCUAACUACGUG